rnacentral:rRNA from 1 species
CGCCGCGUGAGGGACGACGGCCACGGGUUGUAAACCUCUUUCAGCACAGACGAAGCGCGAGGACGGUAUGUGCAGAAGAAGGACCGGCCAACAACGUGCCAGCAGCCGCGGUAAUACGUAGGGUCCGAGCGUUGUCCGGAACACUGGGCGUAAAGAGCUCGUAGGUGGUUUGUCGCGUUGUUCGUGAAAACUCACAGCUCAACUGUGGGCGUGCGGGCGAUACGGGCAGACUAGAGUACUGCAGGGGAGACUGGAAUUCCUGGUGUAGCGGUGGAAUGCGCAGAUAUCAGGAGGAACACCGGUGGCGAAGGCGGGUCUCUGGGCAGUAACUGACGCUGAGGAGCGAAAGCGUGGGGAGCGAACAGGAAUAGAUACCCUGGUAGUCCACGCCGUAAACGGUGGGUACUAGGUGUGGGUUUCCUUCCUUGGGAUCCGUGCCGUAGCUAACGCAUUAAGUACCCCGCCUGGGGAGUACGGCCGCAAGGCUAUAACUCAAAGAAAUUGACGGGGGCCCGCACAAGCGGCGGAGCAAGUGGACUAAAUCGAUGCAACGCGAAGAACCUUACCUGGGUUUGAUAAGCACAGGACGUGUCUAGAGAUAGGU